GCCUGCCUAGCUCAAUUGGUUAGAGCGUCAGACUCUUAUCGUUCUCGGAGCGUAAUUUAUCUGAAGGCUGCGAGUUCGACCCUCGCGGUGGGUU